GUGCUCGCUUCGGCAGCACAUAUACUAAAAUUGGAAACGAUACAGAGAUUAGCAUGGCCCUGCGCAAGGAUGAC
rnacentral:snRNA from 1 species